GGGUUGUGAGGUUAAGCGACUAAGCGUACACGGUGGAUGCCCUGGCAGUCAGAGGCGAUGAAGGACGUGCUAAUCUGCGAUAAGCGUCGGUAAGGUGAUAUGAACCGUUAUAACCGGCGAUUUCCGAAUGGGGAAACCCAAUAUCUUUAAUAGGAUAUUAUCUACACGUGAAUUCAUAGCGUGAUGAUGGCAGACUCAGGGAACUGAAACAUCUAAGUAC
rnacentral:rRNA from 1 species